AAUGUAUAUAAGUAUGUUGUAUUCUAUUUAUACUUCUCUCAUCAAUAUAUUGACAAAUAUGAAUGCCAAAGUUGUAAGUACCUUUCUUGCUUGUCUUAUUGGUAAGUGAAAUUUUAAUACUCAGAAUAUUUAUAUAAUUGUAUAUAUUAUGUAGAAGACAUUAUGCUAAAUCUCUUUUCAAAUAUUUACGGCAUUCUAUUCUAUAAACAUUCAUAAACACAUCAUUUUGUUUUCUUUUAAGGUCAUAUUUGAAAUUAGUGAGCCUGCUUGUCGUAUGUUAAGUUAUGUAAGCAGUGUGUCUAGUGAUUUUUAGUUAUCUUCGUCUCAACAUACGUCAAAUAGGAAUAUAUGAUCUGUUAAGAAGAAGUGACGAGCUUCAAUUUUAAAAUGAUAAACGCAUUUUUAGCACUAUUUGGUAUUUCAUGGCAGACAGUUUUUAAUUGAUUGGGGUUACUGCAGUGCAAGGAAGGAGAAAAAGAUCGUUUGCAAGAUAACCAGCAAUCCUCGUCAAUUAAGUAGUUAUCAAAGGUACCAGGAUUAUAAUUUAGUACGCUAGACGCACGUUUCGUCUACAUAAGACUCAUCAGUGACGCUCAUAUCAAAAUAUUUAUAAAGCCAAACAAGUAUAAAGUUAAAAGGCAUUGAGGAUCCGAAAUUCCAAAAAAAUGUAAUGCCAAAUACGGCUAAGGUAAUCUAUGCCUCGGGAUAAGAAAAUCCUCAGUUUUUCGAAAAGUUUUGUAAACAGGAAAUUUAUAAAAAUGACCACAUUAUUGAUAUACAUGUCAACACCGAAGUGUUGACUACUGGGUAGGAAACGUCCACCAGCAGUGGCAUCGACCCAAUUUUAAGAUUUGAAACCUGUCACGAACAAGGUUAGAACUAAGAAACGAAGUGUUGGCAGUUUAGUGCCAUUACUGACAAGUCGGCCAUUCUUAAUUCAUUGAGAUGAGAUAUGGAACCAAAUAGAAACUGUUGCAACAAGCUGGAUUUAAUACAUUAUUGGUAGAAGAAUAGCGUACAUUAACACGUUGAUAUUUGAUGAAAAUGCCUUAACAACAGAACUUUAACCAAUGGAGCUCUGUUAUUCUUAUUUUUGAUUGGCGUUUAUCCAUAUUUCCCUGUUUUACUUUUUGUAAAACUCUGCAAUUAAGCAAUUUUAUAAUUAACUCAAUUUCUAAAUAAUCUUUGCUUAAUAAAAUCAAAGAAUUCUAUUCAUAUGAGAUUCAACGAUUUAUAAUUUACUGUACUGCUAGAUAUAAGUAUACAAUUCUGAUAUCUGAAAGUAUUUUGUCGCCAUAGCUCAGUCGGUUGACCGCUGAUUGGUUUAUAAAAACACCGACUGCACGGGUUAUUUUAAACGGACUGGUCUUUAGGGAUAGAGGCAGUGGGUUCCAUUUUGAUCAUAUUAUACAUUUAUGAUUUGAAAACGAUUCUCUGUGGGUUCGUACUUCCAUUAAAUUGGUCGUUUGUCUCACUAUUGAUGAUUUGAACGAAUGAUAAUGUCAUUUGUGGCAAUCACCGAUAAAAGGUAGUCAAUACCAUAUCUUACAUUAGCAGACAACAACAGAAAAACGAAAAAUACCAAAAAGAAUUCAAACUUUUAUGUCCGAAAUAAUCUGAAAAUGUCGGAAUUGUUUUGAAUAUUUCAGUAUAAACCGUGUGAUAAGUAAAGUAUUCGUUCAUAAUUUUAGAGAAUUUAAAAACAUAUCGAAUUUAGAAUAUAAAAAAUCAAAUCAGGUCCUUCCUAUUUUUAUCCCCUUCUACCUUUAUGUUUAUAGAAUGUUUUAUUGUUGAAGAAUGAAGACAACCCAAUUACACUUCAAAAUCAGGUACGGCUACGGAAAAGUAAAGGUUUUAUUAGUUUUUCAAAUCAAUCUACUAUGAACGUCACCAACAAUUCUACAAUUUUAGUUUGUUAUCUAUAUGCAUUCAAGGGUAGUUUUUUUUUAUAUAUCCAGAAAGAAAAAAUAGCUCGGGACAAGCGGUCAAUUUAUUUCUGUUGGAUCGACGUAUUUUCCCAUAGACAUGAUACGGGAACGCAAGCGAAUUAAAAGGUCGGCUCUAUGUUUUGAUCUUGAAUUAGAAAAGAAGGUGCAAUAUCCAUUUCACUUUUUAUGUCCCACCUACGAUAGGAGAGGGGCAUUAUGUUUUCUGGUCUGUGCGUCUGUUCGUUCGUUCGUUCGUCCAUCUGUUCUUCCCUCCGUUCGUCCCGCUUCAGGUUAAAGUUUUUGGUGAAGUUGAAGUCCAAUUAACCUGAAACUCAGUACACAUGUGCCCUAUGAUAGAACUUCCUAAUUUAAAUACUAAAUUGGUGUUUUGACCCCAAUUUCACGGUUCACUGAACAAGGAAAAUGAUAUUGCAAAUUUCAGGUUAAAGUUUUUGGUCAAGGUAGUUUUUGAUGAAGUUGAAGUCCAAUCAACUUGAAACGUAGUAUACAGGUUCCCUGUGAUAUGAUCUUUCUUAUUUAAAUACCAAAUUAGAGUAUUUGCGGUCCACUAAACACAUAAUAUGAUAGUGCGGGUGGGGCAUCCGUGUACUAUUGACACAUUCUUGUUUGAGAAAUGUUUUCAUCUAAAAUAGGUGCAUACUAUAUUCUCUGUUGGUAUUAAACAGGGAAAAAAAUAUAUCCCUUAAUUGACAUAUACCCAAUAUCUUAUAUCAGUUGAAGCUUCUCCUUCACAUAUUAAAAGUAUUUAUUUAAGAGUGUUCUUCACUUUAUAACAUUUUGCCUAUACCAAGACCGGAAUAUUGCACUGUUUUUCACUUGUUUUGUUUAUAAAUAGCUUUUGAUUUUGUCAGUUUGAGUGGACUUCCCCUUUUGUAAAUUUUCAUUGGAGUUUAAAAAUGUUCUAGAUUAUACAUGUUUCCAUCCUUUCAAUAUCAUUAUUAAAGUAUUGUCAUGAUCAAUCUGAGGACAUGUUGAUGAUAUCUUUAGAGCUUCCGCUAUUCAGUAGAAAUAGUUUUUUUUUGUAUAAAAAACAUAAUCGGAAGUAGUGUAUAAAAAUUUUCAAGUUCAAAUCUGUACAAAAUAUUAAAUCACGAUACUGCAUAUUAUAAAUUAAAUAGACAACUAACGUCAAUAUAAUCUGUAUGUUCAAAACGUCAUUUCAUUUCAGUAUCCUCCAUUUGCGAACCUUGUAGAAAUGCAAAUAAUUGUGUAAACACACGAUGUGUAAACCGGACAGUGAUUAAUUGUAUUAUCAACUUGUGUACUUGUGUAAAUUCGUCAACCACCAGUAAGUAUUAAGAUACAGUAUUACUUUCAAUUCCAGCAUAACAUAGACCGAUACUGUCAAAAUGGGAUGACUAGCCAAAUGUUUUUAUCUAUUUAUUGAUCAAAUUCGCAUGGAGAAAAAACAGGAGCAGGGGGUAUCGUGUUGUUUAUUCUUUAGUUUUCUAUGUUGUGUCAUGUGUGCUGUUGUUUGUCUUUUUCAUUUUUAACCAUGGCGUUGUCAGUUUGUUUUAGAUUUAUGAGUUUGACUGUCCCUUUGGUAUCUUUCGUCCCUCUUUCCCAUAAAAAGGUGUGCACUGACAUGUCCCUUGUAUCGGUCACUGUUUUUGGAAUAUUAAAUAUAUGCUUAGUGUCAAUAUAAGUUAUAUACUUGUAUACUGAUAGAUACAUGGUGUGCUAUAUAGCUAGUGUCCUAAAACAGUAUAUAUUGGGUCAAUAAAUUCCAUAUGGGGUAAGUGCGAAGCUCGAAUCCCUGUAUGGAAUUUAUUGAUAAUAUCCAAAAUAUGCAUGAAAUGUACUACGUUAAUUUUUGUAAUGUUUUGAUGUUCACAUUUCAACAAUUUAAAAAGAGAGUCAUACAAAAAUUAUUUAAAUAAUAGAAAGCCCAUGUGUACGAUAAGAAGCGUAAACGAGAAGACAAAGAAGGAAAAGACAGAAAGUCACUUGAGCUAUAGAAAGAAGGAAUAAAGGGUACAAAUUAGUUUGAAAACGAUAAGUAACUUUAACUUAUAUCCAGUCUUUAAACAACAUUCACGAUUAAACCCAGAGUAAUGUUAUAUUUUUGUUUUUAUUGAGUUUCUACAUUCUUUCUUUGUAGAACCAACUAACGGCUGGAAUUGUAAGUACAGAAAUGUUUAAGAAACAUGACGAGUAUUUAUAUUUAUAUGCCAUUUAUUUCACUGCAUAGAUUUACAAAUAACUAUAGUCUGAUAAUUUUUGCCACUCGUCUAUUAAGUGAAAAUAUAUAAUUCUUCUAAAAAAAGGGACGAAAGAUACCAAAGGGACAGUCAAACUCAUAAAUCUAAAACAAACUGACAACGCCAUGGCUAAAAAUGAAAAAGACAAACAGAAAAACAAUAGAACACAUGACACAACAUAGAAAACUAAAGAAUAAACAACACGAACCCCACCAAAAACCAGGGGUGAUCUCAGGUGCUCCGGAAGGGUAAGCAGAUCCUGCUCAACAUGCGGCACCCGUCGUGUUGCUUAUGUGAUUACAAAUCCGGUAAAUAGUCUAAUUCGGUAGGUCUAAUUCGGUACCAUCAGAAAUCGGCAGUAUCCGUGGCAUUUUUCUUUUUUACAAUGUUUUCAAUUUGAGUGUAUUUUUUUAUUAGACGUGAACAUAUUAAGAUGGUAUUGCAUAUUUAACGCUGACAAAGGCAGAACAGUCAAACAUUAACAUUGUAUGUUUUCUUUUCUUUUUUUGUAGUUUGUGUUGACAGUGAAUGCGAAUCAUUAUGUUAUCCGCAUCCAGGACAAUGUCACGCAAGACGAUGUUUGUGUAUGAGUCAUAAUUAGAAAUACGCAAGAAAAAGAAUAUGUUUUCACCAGAUAUGAAGAACAUUGCAGUUAUAACAUUUCUCAUAUUAUGUAAUACUGACAGAAGACGUUCUAUGUAUUUCUAAUAAAAGAUUAAAGAUCAGUACUUGUGAUCAUGUAAGUUUCCUCCACA
rnacentral:lncRNA from 1 species